rnacentral:rRNA from 1 species
GAUGAACGCUGGCGGCGUGCCUAACACAUGCAAGUCGAACGAAGCGCCUUACCGGAUUCUUCGGAUGAAGGUCUGGUGACUGAGUGGCGGACGGGUGAGUAACGCGUGGGUAACCUGCCCUGUACAGGGGGAUAACAGCUGGAAACGGCUGCUAAUACCGCAUAAGCGCACGAGGAGACAUCUCCUUGUGUGAAAAACUCCGGUGGUACAGGAUGGGCCCGCGUCUGAUUAGCUGGUUGGCAGGGUAACGGCCUACCAAGGCAACGAUUAGUAGCCGGUCUGAGAGGAUGAACGGCCACAUUGGAACUGAGACACGGUCCAAACUCCUACGGGAGGCAGCAGUGGGGAAUAUUGCACAAUGGGGGAAACCCUGAUGCAGCAACGCCGCGUGAGUGAAGAAGUAUUUCGGUAUGUAAAGCUCUAUCAGCAGGGAAGAUAAUGACGGUACCUGACUAAGAAGCUCCGGCUAAAUACGUG